rnacentral:rRNA from 1 species
GAUGAACGCUGGCGGCGUGCCUAAUACAUGCAAGUCGAGCGAACAGACGAGGAGCUUGCUCCUCUGACGUUAGCGGCGGACGUGUGAGUAACACGUGGAUAACCUACCUAUAAGACUGGGAUAACUUCGGGAAACCGGAGCUAAUACCGGAUAAUAUAUUGAACCGCAUGGUUCAAUAGUGAAAGACGGUUUUGCUGUCACUUAUAGAUGGAUCCGCGCCGCAUUAGCUAUUUGGUAAGGUAACGGCUUACCAAGGCAACGAUGCGUAGCCGACCUGCGAGGGUGAUCGGCCACACGGGAACUGAGACACGGUCAAGACUCCUACGGGAGGCAGCAGUAGGGAAUCUUCCGCAAUGGGCGAAAGCCUGACGGAGCAACGCCGAGUGAGUGAUGAAGGUCUUGGGAGCGGAAAACUCUGUUAUGAGGGAAAAACAAAUGUGUAAGUAACUAUGCACGUAUUGACGGUACCUAAUCAGAAAGCCACGGCUAACUACGUG